AAAGCAGGACUGCUGCCAGCAUGAAGCCUGUGUCUGUCUGAGCAUUCAGAGCCUCCAAGGGGAGAGCUGAUGUAAUCCUUGCCCCUGUUAUGAAGCCUUGGCCUCUCUUCUGUUGGACAGAAUUGUUCUUUGGAAAGUAGAAUAGAUGAUGAAAGCUCAGUGGGGGAACACAAGAGGUAGUUAUAAGAGGCUGAAGUAAAAGAAAGUCAAGAAUAUGAACAAUUCUGAGCUGGUGCUUGUGAUGCCUGGAGAAAAGCACUUGAUGCAAAAGUUGCAGAGAACUUUUUGCUUUCCUCAUUAAUGUAUCGAAGAAGGAGUUUUUACUCAAAGGACACGUACAAAGAAGUCAGGUUGCUUGUUCUGUGGAACACGGAGUCAGAGGAGCAGAUGAAGAAGAAAGAAGUGUGAGCUUGUGUGUGUGUGGAUUCAUCUUGCCAUGGAUCAGGAGUUCACCUUGUGAGAGCUCGUGUGGACAGCACCUCCCAGACAAAUGGAAAUUCCCAAAGACUGCACUUAUAAGAUUUUUGUUAACAGCACUAGAUUUUCCAAGGAGGCGGACCACAAGACCUCACCGCAUGGAGUCCUGUUUUACUUUGUAGUGCUAAUCUCAACCACUUUGUUCACCCACCUCUUACUUACACCUCCACCCAUGGUAAGGAUCAUAGAGUUGGAAGCGACACAUAAGGAUCAUCGAGUUCCAACUCCUGGCUCCACAUGGAACCACCCAAAAAUCAAACUCUGGAUGCUCCUUGAACUCUGGCAGCUUGGGGCCAUGACUACUGCCCUGAAGAACCUGUCCCAGCGCCCAGCCACCCUCUGGUGCAGAAUCUUUUCCCAAUAUCCAACAUGAAGAUGACAUAUCUUAACUGUUUCUUCCACGCAUCAUGUACUAUGUUUAAGCUCCAGGGAAACGGUGUGCUCCCAUAGUGCCAGCAGCACUAUUGGAGGGUGAAGUUAAGGCUGUGUCCUGUAAGAUGUCUGUAGCAAUCUAGGACUUUGAGCGCUUCUUAAGCCAGCCAGUCUGUUGGGAAAUACUUUUCCUCAUUGAUUGCUGCAGUUCAUUUGGAAAAGUUAAACAAAAUAGUGCAACCACUAUGAUGAAAAUGGCUUUGGUUAGAAUUGCCUUAAUUACAAUCCAGAAUUAUCCUGACGUUUACACAACUGUAAGUAAAAUCUGAAGUUUGCCAAGAUAGAUUAAUUUAGGAUAAAUGACCAUGCAACAGGUUCUGAUUUCAUUUCUGUUGGGAAAUCAACUAAUGCCAAGUUAGAUUAAACCUUGCCUCCAUGCUUGCCCUGUGCCAGCAUGAGAUAAAAAAUAUUCCUAGUACUCUUCCUCUGGGACCUACAAAUGAAUCUUGCAACAUCAGUGACACUGGCAUAGGCUGGUGCUGUGUACCACACAGAGAACACCAGACAAAGUCUGACCUUGCCCUGAGCAGUCCCAGAUGUGACCUUGUUUCUGAAAGCUCAUCUGUGUGUCUGUUUCUGUCUUGUGCCUCUGAUUUUAAUGCAUAUCCUCAGCAACUGUAUGCCAAAUGUGAAUGCGGACUCAUACUGAGAGUCAGGCAGCGUGCUUUGACCCGUAUGUUUGAUGAGUGGGUACAAACUGUGAUCAGGUUUUCCAAGUGAAAGCACUGCUGCCACAACCAUUUCCUGACAUUUGCUUACACAGUGUUUUCUUCCUUUCACCCUUCUAUUGCCUGGAACAAGUGCCACUGAUGUGAAAGCAAGUCUCCAUUUUAUUGACUAAAUGUUGUCCCAGAGUCCUUCUAACUUAUUCUUCUCUCAUUUUAAAGCCUUUCUUGUAUGAAUGCAACAUGUUAGUAACUCAUGAGUACACAGUGCCAUUAAUUUCCAGAAUUGAAAGUCUUCAUGCAAUUCAGAAGUCAGUAAUUUCCCGGAGAAUAUACGUUGUUUCACUCAUUUCCAUGAACUCAUGCUGAUUUAUAUCAAACUAGUGAGUAGAAACAAGAUACAGGUGAUUACUACUCUGGUAAAAUACAGGAAUGACUGUGAAUCAAGAAAAAUUUUUGUCUCCUUACACCUAUAAGGUGGCUUGCUGGUAGCCUUGAAGACAUUUUCUCCUUCAUUUAUGCAUCUACAAUGAUACAGUUCUCCUUGUUUUGCUUUGAUAGCGUGUCUGGCCAUGUUUUUAGUGCUGAAAACACGUGUAAGAAAACCUA